GGGAGAACAGCUGUUUUAAAGCCGAGACCAACCCACGGGUGGCCUGUCAGGGCCAAGGAUGUUCAUGACGUCAUCCUGAAGGGCCAUUUCCUAUUCUUCUACCACCCCACCCGGGCAGGUUAGACCCGGUUCACCUGACCGCUCACAGACGUGUUCUCACUCACACUCGACCGACGCAUGCUGGAGCAGAGCACACCCAGGCAGCACCCACGCAGGACCCACCCACCUGCCCGGUUCCUCGCCUGCAUACACGACAAACUGAGGCUUCAAAGCAGCCGUGAGAGCUUCAGAAAAUGACAAACCCACCACGGAUCCAGUGCGCAUCUAGAGGGCGCAAACUGGUGACCAGCGAACCAGACGGGACACAAAAAUGUUUGUGAGGUUCCCACAGUAUUUUAAAAAUUUGAAGUACUUGUCAAAAAGAUUGGAAGAGUUCGCAGAGAAAUCUGGGUUUUCCCUCUCUCUCUCCCUCUCUCUAAAACGAUAUCCUUGUCAUGGCCUUUCCAUGUCUCUUGAAUAGGGGCUGGCAUUCUGCAUGUAGGGAGAAGCCCUGAUCAGUGUACACAGGACUGGGGUCCAGGCAAAUGUAGACCCUCUUCUCCUUUUCGUCAAUAUCACCAAGUCCAUUUAUCAUCAAUCUUAUCCUUUUACGUUUUUUUCCUACAGUAAAGAGGAAAGUGUGGCCAAGGGCAGUGACUCACGCCUGUAAUCCAGGCACUUUGAGAGGUAAAGGUGGGAAGAUCACUUGAGUCCAGGAGUUCGAGACCAGCCUAGGCCCAGCCCUGGACGGACACACAAGCAUCUGUGCUGCCCACCAUCCAGCCAACACAGGCAGCAGGAUAUUUCCUUCUAGUCAGACUGGUGCUGUGCCAGAAGCCACACAGCUGAUAAGUGGUGGAUCCAUCUUGAAUUUGACUUCUAGACACUCCCUUUCAUAAGACAGUGGGAGUUUAAUCAUGGAUAACAAUUCUUCUUUGGAUUAGAACUUAAUUGGAGGACAGAUUGGCAGCUCAGCUAACCUUACUGCCAUCACCAUUAGACAAAUAAAGAUAAAUCUGUACACUACCAGUUUCCUCAAUAUUCUCAUGCAUUCAUUUCUUGGAAUUGACAAACCAUGGACCAGAUGUCAAAAGAUUCUGUGAGGGUCAGGCAUCUUAGAGACGUUACUGAGUUUCUAGAUGGGUUGACAUUUUAAAAUGAAGCUUUUCUGGAAAGAAGAUUGGAUUACAGGUGCUAAGAAACUUGCUUGCUAUGGAUGGCUAAGCAGGCACCUGUCUUGUGCCAACAACCAGACACCUCAAAUGUGGAAUUAGAGAACAGUGCAGUGAAUGAAGUCAUCACACUCACUUCCCACACGUUGGGCAUUCUAAGGAACUUUGGAUCUCUCGUCUUUCAUCCCAAUUGUGUCGCAAAUAUUUCUAAACAUUUGCCAGAUUACCAAGAGAGCUUUAAAAUUUAAUUUCAAGGACUAACCAAGCACCUGAUGGAUUUUGUCGUAUCUGAAGACCAGAGAAGGCUGUUCUUUAAAAAGAAAACAUAAUU